rnacentral:rRNA from 1 species
GAGUUUGAUCCUGGCUCAGGAUGAACGCUGGCGGCGUGCUUAACACAUGCAAGUCGAACGGGAAUGCCACGCUGAUGCGAUUUCGGUCAAAUCAUGUGGCAUUCGAGUGGCGGACGGGUGAGUAACGCGUGGGUAACCUGCCUUACACAGGGGGAUAACACCUGGAAACAGGUGCUAAUACCGCAUAAGCGCACAGGGCCGCAUGGCCCGGUGUGAAAAACUCCGGUGGUGUAAGAUGGACCCGCGUCUGAUUAGCUUGUUGGCGGGGUAGGGGCCCACCAAGGCGACGAUCAGUAGCCGGCCUGAGAGGGUGGACGGCCACAUUGGGACUGAGACACGGCCCAAACUCCUACGGGAGGCAGCAGUGGGGAAUAUUGCACAAUGGGGGAAACCCUGAUGCAGCGACGCCGCGUGAAGGAUGAAGUAUUUCGGUAUGUAAACUUCUAUCAGCAGGGAAGAAAAUGACGGUACCUGACUAAGAAGCCCCGGCUAACUACGUGCCAGCAGCCGC